AUUGAACGCUGGCGGCAUGCCUUACACAUGCAAGUCGAACGGCAGCACGGGUGCUUGCACCUGGUGGCAAGUGGCGAACGGGUGAGUAAUACAUCGGAACGUACCUUAUCGUGGGGGAUAACGCAGCGAAAGCUGUGCUAAUACCGCAUACGCCCUGAGGGGGAAAGCGGGGGAUCGCAAGACCUCGCGCGAUUAGAGCGGCCGAUGCCUGAUUAGCUAGUUGGUGGGGAAAAGCCCACCAAGGCGACGAUCAGUAGCUGGUCUGAGAGGACGAUCAGCCACACUGGGACUGAGACACGGCCCAGACUCCUACGGGAGGCAGCAGUGGGGAAUUUUGGACAAUGGGGGCAACCCUGAUCCAGCAAUGCCGCGUGAGUGAAGAAGGCCUUCGGGUUGUAAAGCUCUUUUGUCAGGGAAGAAACACCGGCUCUAACACAGUCCGGGAAUGACGGUACCUGAAGAAUAAGCACCGGCUAACUACGUGCCAGCCGCCGCCGUAA
rnacentral:rRNA from 1 species